rnacentral:rRNA from 2 species
UUGCCCUAGUAACGGCGAAGUGAAGCGGCAACAGCUCAAAUUUGAAAUCUGGCUUCGGCCCGAGUUGUAAUUUGUAGAGGAAGCUUUAGGCGCGGCACCUUCUGAGUCCCCUGGAACGGGGCGCCAUAGAGGGUGAGAGCCCCGUAUAGUUGGAUGCCUAGCCUGUGUAAAGCUCCUUCGACGAGUCGAGUAGUUUGGGAAUGCUGCUCAAAAUGGGAGGUAAAUUUCUUCUAAAGCUAAAUAUUGGCCAGAGACCGAUAGCGCACAAGUAGAGUGAUCGAAAGAUGAAAAGCACUUUGAAAAGAGGGUUAAAUAGCACGUGAAAUUGUUGAAAGGGAAGCGCUUGUGACCAGACUUGCGCCGGGCGGAUCAUCCGGUGUUCUCACCGGUGCACUCCGCCCGGCUCAGGCCAGCAUCGGUUCUCGUGGGGGGAUAAAGGCCCUGGGAACGUAGCUCCUCCGGGAGUGUUAUAGCCCAGGGUGUAAUGCCCUCGCGGGGACCGAGGUUCGCGCAUCUGCAAGGAUGCUGGCGUAAUGGUCAUCAGCGACCCGUCUUGAAACACGGACCAAGGAGUCAAGGUUUUGCGCGAGUGUUUGGGUGUUAAACCCGCACGCGUAAUGAAAGUGAACGUAGGUGAGAGCUUCGGCGCAUCAUCGACCGAUCCUGAUGUAUUCGGAUGGAUUUGAGUAGGAGCGUUAAGCCUUGGACCCGAAAGAUGGUGAACUAUGCUUGGAUAGGGUGAAGCCAGAGGAAACUCUGGUGGAGGCUCGCAGCGGUUCUGACGUGCAAAUCGAUCGUCAAAUCUGAGCAU